AGUGAGCUUGUUGCUUUUGUUGCGUUGCUCCGCUGCGAUUUAUGGCGAUAUUAAUGGCCACCAGCGAAGGGUUGGAGGCCGAGCAGUGAAGCCAGUGAAGCCCCGCAUCAAUGGCGUCCUCAUAGCUCCACCUCCUCUUCAACUUCUUCUUGCCCCUGAAUCGAUUCGAAACCCCUCCUCCCCCAUUGUUUCUUCUUCUUCGUCUUCCACCCAUUGCUUCUUGCUUUCUUUGGAACACCACCCGAGGAAAUUCCUCUGGCUUUCUUUUCCCAUUUCGUCUCUUGUUUGUUUGGUAAUGGCGAUGCUGCGAUGUGUUGGUUGACAUCUCGGAGGAUUUGGGUUUGAAUUCAAAUCGACGGGGAUUUGAUUUGAAUUCAAUCGGCAGCUUCGUGGUGAAAGGUUUAGCCUUUUUGGGUGAAUCUUUUGUUCGAUUUGGAAGCCAUGGUGGCCGAGCCGCUGGUGCACAAGGUGCUGUCCAUGGCGACGUCGUCGUCGUCGUCUAGGAAGGUGAAGCCGGUGACGACGAGUAGCGGCAAGGGCGGCGCGGCGGCGGCGGCGGCGGCGGCGGUGGAGGGGGUGGUGGAUGACGGGAGGGUCGGCAUCCUGUCGUUCGAGGUGGCGAACGCCAUGUCGCGCGCCGCCAACCUGUACCGCUCGCUGUCGGACGCCGAAGGCGGGGCGGCUGCUCGGCCCGCUCUGCCUCGGCUCCCAGGCGGUGCGCGCGCUAGUGCCGGGCGACGACGCGCGCCUCCUGGCGCUCGCGCUCGCCGAGAAGCUCGACGCGCUCAUCCGCGUCGCGGCCGUCGCGGCGCGCCUCGGCAGGCGGUGCACGCUCCCGGCGCUCCUCGGCUUCGACCACGUCUACGCCGACCUCCUCGCCGGCCGCUCCGACGCCGCCUUCGCCGCCGCCUUGCACUCCGAGGCCACCGCGCUCGUCCGCAAGCUCGACCGCCUCGCCGCCGCCACGGCCGCGCUCUACGCCGAGCUCGAGGCGCUCGCCGACCUCGAGCAGUCUGCGCGGAAGCUCCCCACCGACGAGGCGCGCCGCGCGCUGGAGCAGCGCACGCGGUGGCGCCGCCACGACGCGCGCCGCCUCAGGGACUCGUCGCUCUGGAACUGGACCUACGACAAGGCCGUGCUCCUGCUCGCCCGCGCCGUCUGCGCCAUCUACGACCGCAUCCGCCUCGUCUUCGGCGACCCAAUGCGGGGGCUCGACUUGCUGGCCAUUGGCCGGAGCUCAAGGCAGUGUGACCAAAGCCGGCAGCUCUCCGGCCCAGCCUCGGCGAAUAAUUCGGGCCAUGUCCGGACUAAUUUCGGCGACACCAAAUCAGGGCCAAUUGCAAGGAUCGACAUGGACACGCCACGUUCCGUGAAUUUCCGGUCGAAUUGCGGGGCAAGCCCAGGUAAAAUGUUCAUGGAGUGCUUGAGCUUGAGUAGCUCGGUGUCAUGGAAGGAUGGGUUUGAGGAUGAAUUCUUGGAGGAUGCCAGCUGCAUUAGCACAAUCAGGUCCGGGAUGCUUCUGCCAUUCAGCGGCGAGCAGGGGGUGUCGACAAUGGCAACCAAGAGUGGCAAGGUUGGCAGAAGGGCGCGAUUCGGUCCGAAAAGUACUGUGACAUCACUAGCCCCGCCAUCCACGAUUGGCGGGUCAGCGCUUGCGUUGCAUUACGCUAAUAUUGUCAUCAUCAUCGAGAAGUUGCUCCGGUACCCACAUCUUGUUGGUGAGGAGGCUCGGGAUGAUCUGUACCAGAUGUUGCCAUCAAGCUUGAGAGCAGCACUGAGGAAGAGCUUGAAAACAUAUGUGAAGAGCAUGGCGAUCUACGAUGCGUUCCUCGCGCACGAUUGGAGGGAAACGCUUGAGAAGACCCUGACAUGGCUUGCUCCGAUGGCGCACAACAUGAUCCGGUGGCAAGCCGAGAGGAAUUUCGAGCAGCAGCAGAUUGUGUUGAAGGGGAAUGUGCUACUUCUUCAGACAUUGUAUUUCGCGGACAGGGAGAAGACGGAGGCCGUGAUAUGCGAAUUGCUUGUCGGGCUAAAUUACAUCUGCCGGUAUGAGCAGCAACAGAAUGCACUGCUGGAUUGCUCUAGUAGUCUCGACUUCGACGAUUGUAUGGAGUGGCAACUGCAGUAGAGUCCAUCAGUCCAAGGUCAGGUUUCUGCUUGGUUCCAUAGUGUACAAGGAAUAUGAAACAACAAAGGGUACUUGUGUUUUGGUUUGGAUUUUUUUCUCUUCUGUUUUUUUGGGUGCAAGUUGCACAUGAGAUCAUCUAUCAUUCAUAGAUGAAAAAAAUUUAUAGGAUUGCCUAAUGCUUUUGUUCACUUGAGAUAUGCUCUGUCUAACUCAGUUGUACAUAAAUGAAUGUUUUGUGCCAAAGCAAAUGAGCAAUCUCAAGUGUCCAAAAGGGGUUUGUGCCUUAGUAAAAUUCACCUUUUUUAUUUUGUAUUUGGUAGGACAUGUUUGUGGAUAACUAGUUGAAAGUAUCCUAUUUGGUAUUUGGUAGUGAAGUCACAAAGUUUUACUCCUCUGUUUACCUAAUGAAUUCUAGCAUAUGGAAUGUUCAGACUAUGAAUAUAUCAAGUCACUCUGCCUUGGUCA